rnacentral:rRNA from 1 species
UACAGAGGGUGCAAGCGUUGUUCGGAAUUAUUGGGCGUAAAGCGCGUGUAGGCGGCUUGGCAAGUCGGGUGUGAAAGCCCUCAGCUCAACUGAGGAAGUGCGCCCGAAACUGCUAGGCUUGAGUGCCAAAGAGGAUGGUGGAAUUCCCGAAGUAGAGGUGAAAUUCGUAGAUAUCGGGAGGAACACCGGUGGCGAAGGCGACCAUCUGGUUGGUAACUGACGCUGAGACGCGAAAGCGUGGGUAGCAAACAGG